UCUCCUCCGUCUGUUUGGAUCUUGCGCCGCUCGUCAAACAAGAGGAGCCUUGCGGCGACGCAAGCCAGAGCUACGAAAUGCAGCUGGCCAACGGUGGCCACCGCCGGCUGGCAGCAAGAUAAACAACAGCCACAACGACGGCACAACAAACCAACAAUUCUACGAAACGCACAAACAUGCAGCAAUGUCCGAAAUGCCGUUUCUCUCGAGAGGAUGCCGCUGCGUUUUCUCGCCAAGUUAAAGAGGGAAGAGGUCUGGCGGUACGCUGAUUUCAAACACGGACGUGGGAUGUGGAGAAAACAAAGAAUGGGAAGGAGGGCGCACUGGCUGGACUACCACAUCGCCAAAUACGAGGAGGUGGCAACCGCGAGCGUGCCAGUAGGCGAGGUGGACGUUCAGUUGACAAGGG